ensembl:lncRNA
AGCAGCUCAUUCAUGUCCCUGAGAUACCCAGAGUGAUUUAUUUUAUUCACCCAUUUAGUAGCUGGCCUAUCUAUUACAAAUGCCAGCUCCGUUCUCGCAAACGAGGCUUUCCUUUGAGAGAAGCUGGAUGAGGUCGGACACUUGUCACGCGCCUGCAGCAAUCUGUGUACAUAUGGGCACACGGGCAGGAGCAGCACAGGCUUGUGGGAACAUGUUCCGGCCUGAGAAGAUUCUCUCUGCAGAUGUUCAUGGAUGGCUGCUCCCAGACACAAACAGCCCAGACAAGGAGGAAUGUGUGGAAGCAGAAGUUCAGCAUUCCCACUGUGUAAUGUGUCCUCUAAGACAAAGUCGAGUAGGGCCAUUAUGAGAGUAAUGGCUGUUUCUGUUAGAGAAGCUAUUGUACUGUACGGCUAUUGUAC